GACGAACGCUGGCGGCGUGCUUAACACAUGCAAGUCGAACGGAAGGGCCCUGCGCUUGUGGGGUGCUCGAGUGCCGAACGGGUGAGUAACACGCGAGUAACCUGCCCUUGACUUUGGGAUAACUUCAGGAAACUCGGGCUAAUACCGGAUAGGAGCUCCUGCUCCACGGUGGGGGUUGGAAAGUGUCGGCGGUUGGGGAUGGACUCGCGGCUUAUCAGCUUGUUGGUGGGGUAGUGGCUUACCAAGGUUUUGACGGGUAGCCGGCCUGAGAGGGUGACCGGCCCCAUUAGGACUGAGAUAGGCACCAGACUCCUACCGGAGGCAGCGGUGGGGAAUAUUGCACAGUGGGCGGACGCCUGAUGCAGCAACGCCGGGUGCGGGAUGAAGGCCUUCGGGUUGUAAACCGGUUUCGCCGGUAAUGAGGAGUGAGUGACGGUAAUGAGUAAAGAAGCCACGGCUAACUACGUG
rnacentral:rRNA from 1 species